UGUAUGAGGUACAUAUUUUUGAGUGCCUAU
rnacentral:rRNA from 1 species